GAGGCGCUGUGAUAUUCUGUAGUCUACCGGUAAAACCACUGAAGAAAGAAGAAAGAAGAGAGCACUGACGAUGUUGAACAUGAAAGCGCAGAUGGAUGUGAUCUGCUGUAAAUCAGUAGGAACUGAUCUGUCCAUGCUGGAUAUUGAGGAUUUCAUCAGUGAAAUCUGUCAGCUGAAGAAAGAGGUGGCGUCACUGGAGGCAAAGCUGAGAGAAAGAGGAGACAAACCCAACAGAGAGGAUCUGGAGAAGGUUUCAGUGUGUGUGACUGACGGGACAGAAGCUCAGGAUUCAGUCUGGAGAUCCAGAGACACACAGGACUCAGAGCUCAGCCUCACUUUACUGUGUUAUACUGACGCUCAGGAUCAUGGAUCCGCUGAUCAAACCUCUGACUGUAACGCUGGAGAACAGCAGAUGCUGCAGACGCCGCUGAAGAUGUGCUCCGUCAAACUGGUGGACUGCAGGAACCUGAUAGAGAGCAGAGGAGAAAAAACCACAGCAGAGGAACAACAACAGAGACAUGAGGAUGGGGAGGAUGAACGGAAUGAUGAUGAAGAUGGGAAUGAUGAUGAGAAUGAUGGGACAGAAGCUCAGGAUUCAGUCUGGAGAUCCAGAGACACACAGGACUCAGAGCUAAACCUCAGUUUUCUCUCUUAUACUGACGCUCAGGAUCAUGGAUCCGCUGAUCAAACCUCUGACUGUAACGCUGGAGAACAGCAGAUGCUGCAGACGCCGCUGAAGAUGUGCUCCGUCAAACUGGUGGACUGCAGGAACCUGAUAGAGAGCAGAGGAGAAAAAACCACAGCAGAGGAACAACAACAGAGCCAUAAGGAGGAAGAUGAUGAAGAUCAGAAUGAUGAUGAUCAGAUUAAGGAUGAGGAUGAAGAUCAAAAUGAUGUUGAUGAUGAUGAUGAUCAGAUUAAGGAUGAUGAUCAGAAUGAUGAUGUUGAUGAUGAUCAGAUUAAGGAUGAGGAUGAAGAUCAAAAUGAUGAUGAUGAGUUUGUUCUUUCAGAUGACAACGCUGGUUCAUCUUCUGAUGGAGAAACCGCCUCUACAUCCAAAGAGCGACGGACAAGGAAGAGUUUCUCCUGUAGAAAAACAUUCAGCAAACAGGAAAAUUUAGUGAGGCAUGAGAGAAAAAACACAGAACAGAAAGAGCACAAGAAGAAAACGUUUCGUUGUAGUCAGUGUGGGGAGAAUUUUAAUUCCUCUUCUAGUCUCAACCGUCAUAAGAAGACACACAAUAGCGGAAAACCUUUCCAAUGCAGUGAGUGCAACAAAUAUUUCCGCACCAAAGGAUAUCUUUCAUGUCAUAAGAGAUACCACAGGGAGAAAAAGCUGCACCAGUGCCCUCAUUGUGAGAAGAGCUUCAACAAGGGAUCCUAUCUGAAGAGCCAUCUACUCAUACACACCAAUGACGGGCCAUACCAGUGCCCUCACUGCGAGAAGUGCUUCAAUUUCGGAUCAGCUCUGAAGAACCAUCUGCUCAUGCAUACCAAUGAGAGGCCGUAUCAGUGCAGUGAAUGUGGGAACACCUUUAAGGACUCAGCUUCUCUGAAGUCACACCAAAAAAUACACUCUGAUUUCAAACCGUAUCAGUGUUCACACUGUGAGAAACGUUUCCAUCAUUCGACUCACCGGAAAACCCAUGAGAGGAUUCACACCGGAGAGAAACCGUACCUGUGCUCCUACUGCGGGAAGAGCUUUGCUAGUCCAUAUUCUUUCAAAGUUCAUCUGAGAGUUCACACUGGAGAAAGACCGUAUCACUGUAGUGAUUGUGGGAAGGGUUUUUAUAAGCUAAGUGACUUAAAAAUACAUCAGAGGACUCAUACAGGGGAAAAACCUUUUAAAUGCUCAAAUUGUGACAGGACAUUCACUCGAUCAAGUGACCUGAAGAUCCAUACGCGAUGGCACACAGGAGAGAAACCUUACCGCUGCUCCAUCUGCGGUGAGAGUUUCUCUUUUAAAUGGGCAUUUCAGAGUCACCAGAAGAAACAUGCUGAUCCAGAAUCAUCAUAGCUUCAUCAUGUAAUUAUUUUUAGGUUGUGUAAAAAAAAAAAAAAAAAAAAAAAAACACCCUUCAGUGUUACAGGAAUUAUAUUUUAUGGUUAUAAAAAAACCUGAAACUAGAUUGUGUCUAGAACAGGGGUGCUCCUGCAGAGUUUAGCUCCAACCAUGAUUAAACACACCUGAACCAGUGUAUCAAGAGCUUUGCGGCUAUAGAAUACCCAUAAUGCAUUGUGAGGGUCGCACUGAAACAAUUGCUGUGUCUAUCCAGAAGAUGGCGCCCGCCUAUCCAUUUUCCAAACCACUGCUCCAAUGUGGCUACACUGUAAUAUACAGGCAUAAAUUCCUUUGUAAUUGAUUAUUAAAUUGUUUAAUUAAGGUUCAUACAUAGUUUCCAUGACAUGAGUUCAAGAUAAAUUGUAUUGAUUACUACUGGAGCUGCCAGUUUGCUAAGUUUCAAAUGACUAGUAAACAGCAAGCUCAAACUAUGCAAAAGCAGAUGUGUCCAUUUUCAUUCACUCCUUUAAGUGAACUAUAUUAGUGGAGUAGUGUAGGUAAUAGGGAAUGAGGGUAUAGGGAGCAAUUUCAGACACAGCAAGAGUUUUCAUUCUCACUAGAAACUUCCAGGUAAGCGUGUUGGAGCUAAACUGUGCAGGACGUUGACCCUCCAGGAGCAGGAUUGGACACCCCUGCUCUAGAACAUCAUUUACUGUGUAGAAAUUAAUCCUCUGAAUGAAAAUCUGUAUUUCUUUGUGACAACUUUAAACUCACUGUAAUGUGCAGAUCUGCAUAUUGGAUUAAAGUGUGUUUAUGAGGUAUUUGAUCACACUGAUGGAAUGACAAGGCCUAAUUCUUUUAGCGGUUAUUUAAUACUUACUGAAAAACAUAAUGGCGUGAAAUGAGGCUUCUUUCCCUCAGUCACUUUGAUACACAAAACUGAAAUGAUCCAGACAUGGAUAUGUUCUAAGGUCACACCGUCAGUUUUUGGGAUCGACAAUUGCAUUUGCUUACAGGUGUGAAUCUACUUUCAUGUGUGAGUCUAAUCAGCUUACAGUAGCGCCUCAAAUGCUGUCUGUACGAACAAGCAAUGGGAGUCAAGUCCGUAUUUAUUUACAAGUAACCAUAUAGCGACAGUGACAAAAGUAAUAUCUCAGCAUACAAUAAUGCAGUGUAAUGCAAUAAAAAAAUGCAAGUUUAACAUGUUAACACUCUCCAUUUGUCUCAGGGAGCGUGUGCGUUAGUGGCCGGCCUACUUCACUUCUCCAUGUCUGUGUUCUGCUGGAGGGGACUUGGGUAAAGUUGUUUUUAUAUUCGCACAUUCGGAAUUCCGCGUUUAAGAACGUUCUAAUAAUGUGCAAUAAAGUUAAUGUUUGCAAAUUCUGAACAACGACAUUUACCAACGAUUGUAACCCUACAACAUUUUUCACAAUCGAUCAAAAUGGGCAAGUAUUACUUUAAUGGCAUACUUACUUGCGAACGUCCACUGAAUGUCCAUUGUAGUGUACAAAGUUAUUGUAGCCUAUGCGGAAGUCCGAAUGUGCGAAUAUAAAACCAAAUUUACCCAAGUCUGGAGGGGGUGCAGUAAAAACAGCAAUUAUUAUGAAAUAUUAUUCCAAUUUAAAUUAAGUUUUCUAAUUGAAUCAAUAUUCAAAUGUAUUUUUUUUCAGCGAGUCAAAGCUGUAUUCUGAUUGGCUCUUCAGUCUCACAUGACCCAGAAAUCAUAUGCUGCUGAUUUGCUGCUCAAGAAAUCAUUCUUAUUAAUAUCGCAGUUGAAAAUGCUUGUGCUUCUUAAUUAGUGGGUUUUUUUUAUUUUUUAUUUAUAUUCACAGAUCAACAGAAAGAGUGAAGAAGUAUUUAUUUCAAAUAGAUUCUGGACCAUGUAUCUUUAUGCGCGCCUCUGCACGCGCUUUCUCCUGUCUUUCAUAGAAACCCGCGAAAUCGCGUAGUUCAAAAAUUAACGGUCAUUUUGAUUUACCGGCUGACUGACUGACAUUCGUUUAUCAAUCGUCCUUAUGAUUACGUAAAGAUAUGAUAUCCAUCUUUUAUUGGCAACGCCACUGAAAUAAAAUGGUAUAAUAAGAGAAAUUAGGUUUAGUGAAGCCUACUCCACGUACUGUAGAAGGCGCUGUGACGUUAGUUAGUCCCCCGGUAGAACCACUGAAGAAAGACGAAAUAUUAGCAUAUUGCCCGCCCACUUACUGCGCGUGCAGACACCAGGGAAAACUUGAAUUCCCUCAAACGCUGCAGCUGAUUCCUGUGGAUACGGAUAGCAUCAUGUCGAGAAGACGCUGUGCUCUACGGUGUGAUAGUAAAGCCACGUUUUUUUCACUGCCCAAGGACGAGCAUGUGAAGAAUCAGUGGUUAAAGUUAAUCUUUACAGCGAUACCACAAAAGUAUAGCCCGAACCUUGUGCUGUGUUCCCGUCAUUUUACUGACGACUGCUUCCUCAACUUAAAUGCGUUCAACGAGGGAUUCGCAAGCCGGUUGUUAUUGAAGGAUGGGUCAGUACCCAGUUUAUGUGGACCAGCUUCUUCCUCCUCCGAAUCACAACCUAUGUUGACCAUGAAUGCCCACAUGGAUGUGAUCUGCUGUAAAUCAGUAGGAACUGAUCUGUCCAUGCUGGAUAUUGAGGAUUUCAUCAGUGAAAUCUGUCAGCUGAAGAAAGAGGUGGCGUCACUGGAGGCAAAGCUGAGAGAAAGAGGAGACAAACCCAACAGAGAGGAUCUGGAGAAGGUUUCAGUGUGUGUGACUGACGGGACAGAAGCUCAGGAUUCAGUCUGGAGAUCCAGAGACACACAGGACUCAGAGCUCAGCCUCACUUUACUGUGUUAUACUGACGCUCAGGAUCAUGGAUCCGCUGAUCAAACCUCUGACUGUAACGCUGGAGAACAGCAGAUGCUGCAGACGCCGCUGAAGAUGUGCUCCGUCAAACUGGUGGACUGCAGGAACCUGAUAGAGAGCAGAGGAGAAAAAACCACAGCAGAGGAACAACAACAGAGACAUGAGGAGGAGGAGGAUGAUGAUCAGAUUAAGCAUGAGGAUGAAGAUCAGAAUGAUGAUGUUGAUGAUGAUGACUUUAUUCCUUCAGAUAACAACACUGGUUCAUCUUCUGAUGGAGAAACUGCCUCUACAUCCAAAGAGCGACAGACAGUGACAGACUGUGGAAAAACAUUCAGCAAGCAGGAAAAUUUAGCGAGACGUGAGAGAAAACACUCAGAACAGAUAGACUUCACCUGCAAGAUAUGCGACCUCAGCUUUCCUACUUAUGUAGAGAGGAAACUUCAUUCAAAAGAGCACACCGUGAAGAAGGAGUUUCGCUGUGAACAGUGUGGGAAGGAUUUUUUCACCACUCCUUAUAGUAUGAGAGCUCAUAUAAACACACACAGUGAAAAGACUUUACAAUGCAACGUGUGUAACAAAUAUUUCCGCACCAACCAACAUCUUUCAAUGCAUAAGAGAAUCCACACGGGUGAAAAGCCGUACCAGUGCCCUCACUGCGAGAAGAGCUUCAACCAGAGACCCCAUCUGAAGAACCAUCUACUCAUGCACACCAAUGAGAGGUCACACCAGUGCCCUUACUGCGACAAGAGUUUCAACCAGGGAUCCAAACUGAACAACCAUCUACUCAUACACACUAAUGAGAGGCCGUACCAGUGCCCUCACUGUGAGAAGAGCUUCAAUCUUGGAUCAGCUCUGAAGAAACAUCUACUCGUACACUCAAAUGAGAGGCCGUAUCAGUGCAGUGAAUGUGGAAAAAACUUUACAAACUCAGCUUCUCUGAAGUUACACCAAAAAAUACAUUCUGAUUUCAAACCGUAUCAGUGUUCACACUGUGAGAAACGUUUCUAUCAUUCGACUCACCGGAAAACCCAUGAGAGGAUUCACACCGGAGAGAAACCGUACCUGUGCUCAUACUGCGGGAAGAGCUUUGCUAGUCCAUUUUAUUUCAAAGUUCAUCAGAGAGUUCACACUGGAGAAAAACCGUAUCGCUGUAGUGAUUGUGGGAAGGGUUUUACUAAUGCAAGUGGCUUACAAAUACAUCAGAGGACUCAUACAGGAGAAAAACCUUUUAAAUGCUCAGAUUGUGACAGGACAUUCACUCGAUCAAGUGACCUGAAGAUCCAUACGCGAUGGCAUACAGGAGAGAAACCUUACCGCUGCUCCUUUUGCGGCGAGAGAUUCUCUUUUAAAUGGGGAUUUCAGAGUCACCAGAAGAAACACACUGACCCAGAAUCAUCAUAGCUUCAUCAAUUCAUUAAGUUGUGUAAAAAAAACACUUUGCAAUGUUAUUUUAUGUAUGUAACAAAAAAAAAAAAAAAAAAAAAAAAAAAACCUAAAACUAGAAUGUCUGUAGAACAUUAUUUACUGGGUAGAAAUUAAUCCUCUGGAUGAAAGAUUCACUGUAAUGUACAAAAAUUAUUCUCGUUUCUUCAUAACAUUAACAUUAAUGUCUCUCAGCAUGCGAUCGCGAACUCAGUUCUCUUUUACGUCUUAUUGGGCUUGAAUGUUCGACAACGCAUGCGUUCAUUUACCAGUUAUGUCUCAAGUGAAAGCUAGCAGUUAGGUGUAAACCAUAUAUGUAUCAGUAUAACGGAUCUGUGUGUUUGGCCUAAAGCCUGGAACACACCAAGCUGGCGGUCGGCCGUCAGGCAGGUUUUGUUCGUCGGCCGACUAAGUUUUCUCAGUGUGUUCCACACCGUCAGCUGAAGUUGGUCCUCGUCGGCUUUUUUUCGGCCUGAUUCGACAUGUUGAAUCGGCGUCGGCGCUCGUCUGUCAGUCGGGCCAUCUGAUCAUUCUGAUUGGCUGUUCGGCUACUGCCACCUGCUGGUACGUAAAGGCAUUUCUUCUUACGCAGGCACAGAACAGACGUGCUACUUGGCCGUCAGGUGACAAGCGUUGGUUUGGUGUGUCAGGGCGACUUUGGACCCAGACGCUGCCGACAUGAGCAAAUCCCGCAGUCUGCUUUCGUCGCCACUAGUUCGUCGGCGUCGGCUUGGUGUGAUCCGGGCUUUAAAGUGACAGCAGCCUAAUAUACCUACCUGCUGUUCUUUGUCAUUAAUGUGAAUCAAAGGAUAGGAAGGUGAAUGUCCUUGAGUGACCAAGCCCUGACUUAAAUCCGAUAGAAAAUCUGUGGAUGGACUUGAAGAGAGCAGUAUUUAAUCAGGGGACUGAUGACUUUUCCAACCCUGUUAUUCUAGUUUUUUCAUUUUUAAUAAUCCUCCAGAAUGUUUUUAAGUUAGACUUAAUUUAUUUUAUUUUCCUUGGUGUAAUGUGACAAAAGGUAAAGAUUUUCACAUGGUAUGAUGACUUCCUGUAGGCACUGUAUAUCGUUAUUGUGAAAUAAAAUCUCAUAUUGUGAUGUAGGAAUUUGGUCAUGUUGCCCACCCCUAAUUAUCAAUGUAGAAAAUGCUUGAGCUGCUUAAUGAAGUUUGGAAACAGACAUGCAAUGUUUUUUCAGGAUUUUGAACAGCAUUUAUUUAUAUUUAAUAUAUUGCCAUCAAGUCUGGUCAUGAAAACGUAGUUGACAUCGAUAUAUUCUACACUGAAAACAUAUCAAAUGUCUAGUAAAAUCACUCUAAGUAUGGUAAAAAGGUUCAAUCGGAUCAAGUACAGUAGAUUAUUACAUCAUUAGAGUGUGUAGCGCUGAAACCCUAUUGUAAUUGUUAAAAUUUCCAAGGAUCAGCAUUCUCUCCUAAAAGUGAUCGGGCAGAUCAAACCGUUAGUCAUAGAGACUUGAAACUUUGAGGGCUGGUAGUACUCACACCGUCUACAACAUCACCAAGGCUCGCCCCAUUCAGCUUUACAGGGGCGCUACAGCAGCCAAAAGUAUGAAAUGGCUCAUAACUCCUAAACCCACAAGUGUCUUGUGUCGUUGGAAUCUUGCUCAUCUGGGUAAAUUUUGGGGGAUUUUGUAUUUUUGGAAAACCCUACUUUUGCAAAGUAGUCCUAGGUUUUUGACCUGAUUGGAACUAAACCAGUGCAGCGAGAUUCUCUGGAGUCUGAUUGUCAAUAAUUAUCAGAAAAAUAAGCUGAAAUUUCGAUUUGAAACGUUUGAAGUGGGGGGAGUCACUUUUACUAAAAUGGACUGAAUGAGAUAUUUUCACCAAAAUCAGCACACCUAUGUAAGAGCUCAUUCUGUGGUUGUGUGAAAAAGGACACGGUGACUGGCCACUUGGUGGCGCUAUAACAGGAAAAAACAUGAAAAUGGCUAUAACUACUUCAUCGUUUGUCCAAUCAACUUGAAAAUUGGCACGUAGUGUCUAUGUCCAAGGUGCCAUGUUUGUCUAGGAGGACAUUGAAGUAUCUAAAAAAAUAACAUGUCCGCCAUUGGCCAAUGAAGAUUGAGCAGCUAUCAGAAAAUGUCAACGGAGGCUGAUCGGAAUGAAACCCGCUGGGCCUGUUUUAUUCACGGCCCUACAGGUCUGUGAGAAAUUUGAAAGAAAUCAGGCACCGGGGGGCACCUUUGCAUUUUUGUAUUGUUUAUCGCAUGACUUUUCCAUAUGCCCACAACAUUCAUACCACAUGGUAGAACUCCUCAUUCUGAGCAACUUUGCCUCUAGGACCGCCUCUGUACAUUGACUUGUUCGUUAAAUACUGGAGGUUAUUUCAAAAACCAACUUUGGCGAACUAGUCCUAGGUUUUUAGCUCAACCUCAAUAAAUCUCCUAUGGUAAAUUGCCUGUAUUGACUGUAAGUUGUCUUUCCAUCUGUGAUCGAGAUGGUUACAGGCUUGCUAAUUAAAACAUUACGCAUGUGCUUAAAGGCCUUAAAGUGCUUGAACCCUAAUACUUGCUGCUCGCAGCUGUAUUUUUUUAUUUUUUUUUUUAAAUAUUAUACACUGCCAGUCUUAGUUUUUUUUUGUAAUGAAUUUAUUGUGGAAAUCCACCGGAAAAUAUUUAUUUUUUCAGUAAAUAACUCCCCGUUAGCAGACAAAACAGUGUAAACACACAGUCCUCUGAUGGUGACCUUCAUUAUGUUUAUUUGACUUGAGUGCCAAAGUUAAAGCAUCUUUUCUACUGUGUCAUUUCAGAAAUAUUCAAAAUAGCAGAAUACAUACAGACAAAACUGGUGUUCUGAACACCAUAGCAAAACAUCACGUUUGUUUCGUCUUUGAGCUUCAUCGACUUGUAGGUCUGAAGUCUUUCAUGUCCUCAUAAUUAAUGGGCAGAUUUUUACAAUCAGCAGGAUGGUCUGUAAUUAAGCU